rnacentral:rRNA from 1 species
UACGGGGGGAGCAAGCGUUGUUCGGAUUUACUGGGCGUAAAGGGCGCGUAGGCGGCACCGCAAGUCGACUGUGAAAUCUCCGGGCUUAACCCGGAAAGGUCAGCCGAUACAGCGGGGCUAGAGUGCAGAAGGGGCAACUGGAAUUCUCGGUGUAGCGGUGAAAUGCGUAGAUAUCGAGAGGAACACCUGCGGCGAAGGCGGGUUGCUGGGCUGACACUGACGCUGAUGCGCGAAAGCUAGGGGAGCGAACGGG